CAGGCCUAACACAUGCAAGUCGAACGGAACUUGGGGGCUUGCUCUUAAGUUUAGUGGCGAACGGGUGAGUAACAUAUCGGAACGUAUCCAUUAAUGGGGGAUAACUAAUCGAAAGGUUGGCUAAUACCGCAUACGCCCUACGGGGGAAAGCAGGGGAUCUUCGGACCUUGCGUUAAUGGAGCGGCCGAUAUCUGAUUAGCUAGUUGGUGAGGUAAAGGCUCACCAAGGCGACGAUCAGUAGCUGGUCUGAGAGGACGACCAGCCACACUGGAACUGAGACACGGUCCAGACUCCUACGGGAGGCAGCAGUGGGGAAUUUUGGACAAUGGGCGAAAGCCUGAUCCAGCCAUUCCGCGUGAGUGAAGAAGGCCUUCGGGUUGUAAAGCUCUUUCGCAAGGGAAGAAAACUUACCUUCUAAUAAAGGGUGAGGAUGACGGUACCUUGAUAAGAAGCACCGGCUAACUACGUGCCAGCAGCCGCGGUAAUACGUAGGGUGCGAGCGUUAAUCGGAAUUACUGGGCGUAAAGCGUGCGCAGGCGGUUUUGAAAGUCAGAUGUGAAAUCCCCGAGCUCAACUUGGGAACUGCGUUUGAAACUCCAAAGCUAGAGUAUAGGAGAGGGGGGUAGAAUUCCACGUGUAGCAGUGAAAUGCGUAGAGAUGUGGAGGAAUACCAAUGGCGAAGGCAGCCCCCUGGCCUAAUACUGACGCUCAUGCACGAAAGCGUGGGGAGCAAACAGGAUUAGAUACCCU
rnacentral:rRNA from 1 species